rnacentral:rRNA from 1 species
GGAUCGCAGGCUGCAACCCGCCUGCGUGAAGUCGGAAUCGCUAGUAAUCGCGGAUCAGCAUGCCGCGGUGAAUACGUUCCCGGGCCUUGUACACACCGCCCGUCACACCAUGAGAGUCGGGAACACCCGAAGUCCGUAGCCUAACAGCAAUGAGGGCGCGGCCGAAGGUGGGUUCGAUAAUUGGGGUGAAGUCGUAACAAGGUAUC